rnacentral:rRNA from 1 species
GAUGAACGCUGACAGAAUGCUUAACACAUGCAAGUCGAUGGGGAAGUGGUGCUUGCACCAUGGUAACCAUGGCGGACGGGUGAGUAACGCGUAAGGAACUUGCCUGCGGGACUGGGAUAACAGCAGGAAACUGCUGAUAAUAACGGAUAAGGUCAUUAAGCUGCAUAGCUUAGUGAUGAAAGGAGACGCCUGCGGAGAGCCUUGCGUCCUAUUAGCUAGUUGGAGGGGUAACGGCCCACCAAGGCGAAGAUAGGUAGCCGGCCUGAGAGGGUGGACGGCCACAAGGGGACUGAGAUACGGCCCUUACUCCUACGGGAGGCGGCAGUGGGGAAUAUUAGACAAUGGGGGCAACCCUGAUCCAGCAAUUCUGUGUGCACGAAGACGGUUUUCGGAUUGUAAAGUGCUUUCAGCAGGGAAGAAGGAAGUGACGGUACCUGCAGAAGAAGCGACGGCUAAAUACGUG